rnacentral:rRNA from 1 species
GACGAACCGUGCGAACGUUGUUCGGAAUCACUGGGCUUAAAGGGUGCGUAGGCGGGUUGUCCAGUCUGGGGUGAAAUCCCACGGCUCAACCGUGGAAUUGCCUCAGAUACUGACGACCUCGAGGGAGGUAGGGGCGAGCGGAACUGUGGGUGGAGCGGUGAAAUGCGUUGAUAUCCACAGGAACUCCGGUGGCGAAGGAGGCUCGCGGGACCACUUUUGACGCUGAGGCACGAAAGCUAGGGGAGCAAACGGG